rnacentral:rRNA from 1 species
GACGGGUGAGUAACGUGGGCAAUCUGCCCUGCACUCUGGGACAACCCUGGAAACGGGUAAUACCGGAUAAUACUGUGCCCCUGGGAUGGUUAAAAGUCCGGCGGUGCAGGAUGAGCCCGCGGCCUAUCAGCUUGUUGGUGGGGUAAUGGACUACCAGGGGACGACGGGUAGCCGGCCUGAUAGGGCGACCGGCCACACUGGGACUGAGACACGGCCCAAACUCCUACGGGAGGCAGAAUCGGGGAAUAUUGCACAAUGGGCGAAAGCCUGAUGCGGCGACGCCGCGUGAGGGAUGACGGCCUUCGGGUUGUAAACCUCUUUCGACAGGGAAGAACGACGGAACCUGCAUAAGAAGCGCCGGCU